CAGCCGCCGCGGGAAUACGUAGGGUGCAAGCGUUAAUCGGAAUUACUGGGCGUAAAGCGUGCGCAGGCGGUUAUAUAAGACAGAUGUGAAAUCCCCGGGCUCAACCUGGGAACUGCAUUUGUGACUGUAUAGCUAGAGUACGGCAGAGGGGGAUGGAAUUCCGCGUGUAGCAGUGAAAUGCGUAGAUAUGCGGAGGAACACCGAUGGCGAAGGCAAUCCCCUGGGCCUGUACUGACGCUCAUGCACGAAAGCGUGGGGAGCAAACAGGAUUAGAUACUCCAGUAGUCCCUGUCUCUUAUAC
rnacentral:rRNA from 1 species